rnacentral:rRNA from 1 species
GACGAACGCUGGCGGCGGGCUUAACACAUGCAAGUCGAACGGAAAGGCCCUGCGUUUGUGGGGUGCUCGAGUGGCGAACGGGUGAGUAACACGUGAGUAACCUGCCCUUGACUUUGGGAUAACUUCAGGAAACUGGGGCUAAUACCGGAUAGGAGCUCCUGCUGCGUUGUGGGGGUUGGAAAGUUUCGGCGGUUGGGGAUGGACUCGCGGCUUAUCAGCUUGUUGGUGGGGUAGUGGCUUACCAAGGCUUUGACGGGUAGCCGGCCUGAGAGGGUGACCGGCCACAUUGGGACUGAGAUACGGCCCAGACUCCUACGGGAGGCAGCAGUGGGGAAUAUUGCACAAUGGGCGGAAGCCUGAUGCAGCAACGCCGCGUGCGGGAUGACGGCCUUCGGGUUGUAAACCGCUUUCGCCUGUGACGAAGCGUGAGUGACGGUAAUGGGUAAAGAAGCACCGGCUAACUACGUG